rnacentral:rRNA from 1 species
UGGGGAAUUUUGGACAAUGGGCGCAAGCCUGAUCCAGCAAUGCCGCGUGCAGGAUGAAGGCCUUCGGGUUGUAAACCGCUUUUGUCAGGGAAGAAACGAGUUUCUCUAAUACAGAGACUUAAUGACGGUACCUGAAGAAUAAGCACCGGCUAACUACGUGCCAGCAGCCGCGGUAAUACGUAGGGUGCGAGCGUUAAUCGGAAUUACUGGGCGUAAAGCGUGCGCAGGCGGUUAUAUAAGACAGAUGUGAAAUCCCCGGGCUCAACCUGGGAACUGCCUUUGUGACUGCAUAGCUAGAGUACGGUAGAGGGGGAUGGAAUUCCGCGUGUAGUAGUGAAAUGCGUAGAUAUGCGGAGGAACACCGAUGGCGAAGGCAAUCCCCUGGACCUGUACUGACGCUCAUGCACGAAAGCGUGGGGAGCAAACA